CUUGUGCCACGGUGGCCCAAAUGUCAGUCAACCAGACAUGUCUUCUGAGAGUUCCCAGGAAUGUGGUGAAGAGCAACUGUAAGCGAUAAGAUUGUUCCCAGCGCUAAUAAAACUUUGGAGUUAAUUAACUGAGAAGAAGGUAAAAUGAAAUGUUGUUAUGAGGGCUAAAGUUGUUUUUCUACCUUUUUGAAAAUUAUUUUUUAUCUGUUGAAAUUAUAAUAUAAUUAUCAUCUCUCCUUCUUUUUGCUCCCCUCUCAGAAAUUAACAGCCUUGAGUUGCAGGUGGAAGGUGCAGAAGCCAAAUUAAAAACAGUCUUUUCAGGCUGAGCUCAGGAGCCUGAAUUUCCAUGCUGUAAGUGGCUGGGAUCCACUGGAGGAUUUUAAUUGUGUAAGUUGACAAGAUCAGAUUUGCUAUUCAGAAAGCACACCCUGGCACAGAUCGGUGGGUGGAAUAGAAAGUGGUUGCCCUGGAGACAGGCAGACCCAUUAGGAAGCUCUGACAAAGAUCCAGGAGAGAGAAAAUGAGGAUAGUGGUUGGAGGAAUGAGCAGAUUCAAAGACAUUUUAGAGGUGGAACGGAUGGUCGGGAGACGCUCAUUCAGUGUAAAUGCUGAAGGAAAGGAAGAACCAAGGAGCGCUGUGGUUUCCAGCUUGGAUUUCUAUAUGGAUAGUGAAUAAUUAAUGAAGAUGUGGCGGGCGGGCAUAAUGGGGACUUAAGAGGGAGGUAGUUGUAGAUGGACGUGAUCAAUAUACAUUUGUUUAAAUGUGUAUAACUUUCAAAGAGUAAGAGAAUUAUUAUUUUAAUAGAUCAAGGUAUAAAAUACAAAAAAAAGUCAAAUGGGGGGGGGGGUUUGCUAAUGAAUUCAUAUGUGACCUGUUGAAUUUGAUGUAUCUUUUGGACUUGUAGGUGAAGAAGUCACAUGUGGUGAAUAUAUUAUCAUCAGAAUGCGGAGCAAUGAAAUGUAAACAGAUAGGAAUCGUCACUAAAGCUCCAACUGCAGCCUCCGGGUGCCAUAGCUUUUGCACCAUCCAUUUGCACCAUCUCUGCAGUAAGUCCUAGCUCAAGCCUUACUCCAAAGUACAAAUUAGCAUAGCAGCUCAGUCAACAAUGCCUCCGAGCUUCUGGAAAGAAAGAUGCUCAGUCACCAUAGACCCAGAAUUAAUGAAAAGUCACAGAAAUAAUAGCUCCAUUCUCUACUUGCUUCUGAACCUCAAAUCAGUGGUUGGCAACAAGGAUGUCUGCAUCAUCUGUAUUGACCUGCUCCCCAGAUUAAUACCGAAGCACUGCAAUUUCUUGAGGAUUAUCCACCUAGGAGGAAAUGAUACGCUGGCCCAUCCAUAGUAGUCAAGGUUUCUUGGAAGAGAAGAAUGAGAUUGGAUCUGAGAAAAUGUGGCUGGGAACCACCAUCUCAGAUGGUAGAAACCACUCAGAAGGAUCAACUGCUGCAGACGGGAAGAGGAGCAACCUCGUGAAUAAUUUCGUGACAGGAUAUUGCAGGAGGGACUUUGUCCAAAUGUGUGCAGGGUAGUUGGCUACAGCAACAAGGAUGACGAACACAGAUGAAUUGAUCAGGAUGUAACCAUUCAAAGUUGAGAGGAUUAGAGGACUUCUCCGAGGCGGCUCCAAUGGAUGCCAGCAGAGUUAAAGUGUCCAAUGGAGAGAAGAGAAGGCUUGGGAAAUCCAGAGUCCAUUCAUUCAUCGCCCUCCUCCUAGAACAACAAAAGCGAGCCCCAGUACUCAUCAGCAUGGACUCUGUGUGUAGUCAUCUCCCUUAGUUUCAGAGGUUCCUGCCUACAGCAAAACUUUAGAGGCUUAGAGUUUAACGGUCAUAGCUUAUUCACCUCCAACUGUGUCCUAGUUCAAGAGAAACACUUCACAUAUCUGUAGGGAGAAGAUAAUGAACCAAGGAUACAAGUUAAGCCUUAGCUAAGACCUGUUACUCAGGAAAAAGAGCUAAAACAAGCUGCUUAGAUCAGCACCAAUGUUAGGUAGAGAGAAAAAGAAACGCUGCAUAGAAAUCUUAAGGUUCACAUGUGCUCCAGGCUGGGUCAACAACUUCUAAUUUCCUUUGCCAACCAACCAUGUCUUUGACAGAAAUGAUCCUUCUACAUAGACCACAGAGGGAUCCAAUGGAGGUUUCUCUUCCUGAAUUUGGGGAUUCAGAAUCUGGACAAAUUCCUUUCCAUCAAAGUCCAGUACAAAAGUAGUACCAUGGCAGUCCCUGCAGGGACUUGCAUCACUUUCCCUAGAGAUAUCAAGAGAAUUUUUAGUGAUAAGAAUAUGGCACAAAAUGAGAAAUCCCAUUACUCUUAAGAGAAUCUCUUCCUUCUCAAAGGCACCUGAUUAAUACAUAUAGUACUAUCAGUAAGGCUGAGCAAAAGGAUACUGAUGUUCUGAGUGAUCUUAAAUCAUGUAAUAAUAACUUUAUUCGUAGUAUAGAACGGAAUAUUCCCUAUUAGUAAUCAGUUCCUUUGCCAGAUCCUCAUAGUAUCUUAGUCACUGUUUUAUUGUUAUGAAGAGAAACUUUGACCACAGCACCUCUUAGAAAAAAGGAAGCAUUUAAUCGGGACUUCCUUAUGGUUUCACAGUUUUACAUAAUUGUCAACAUGGCAGAGAACAUGGGGGCACGCAAACAGACAUGGUGCUGGAGAAGUAGCGGAGAAUAUACAGCAACAUAUAGAUACAAAAUAUAGAUACAUAUAGAUACAGAAUAUAGAUACAUAUAGCUACAUAUAGAUCUGCAGGCAGCAGGAAGAGACUGGGACAAGGCCAUACCUUCUAAGGCUUCUCAAGGAGUGUCACUUCCUGAUGACCAAGCAUUCAAGUGUAUGAGCUUAUGGGAGCCAUUCUUAUUCAAGCCACCACACAUAGCAAAGCUGAUAAUGUCAUUUUCUGAAUUAACCAGGCCAAGGCACACUUCUUAGCAACAUGGUUACCUGGUAACCAGAGAUUUUUCUCAUCCCAUGAGAGAUUUCAUUCAAGAACUGAUCUUCUAACAGUUUUGUCUCUCUUAAGAAUGCUACAGACAGGGUGGGGUGAGGCACAGUGCUGAAGCCCCUCAAGUUUCCCAGAGGGAUGAGUCCAUGAAAGACGAAAAUCAUGUGGUCACACUGAGCAUAGACUUCACAAGCAUCAUGCUAGGAUUCCAUUUUCUUUCUCAACACAAUGAUAAAUUCUUCUUCCAAUAAGCAGAAAAUCAUCCAAUGGGAAAAAAAAAUAAAACCAACUAACUUGCAGUCCUUUGGAACAGUUUCAUAGCUUACAGGAUGGCUUCAUAACCCUGGGGACACUCGUUUUGACAUGAAAACUUCCUUCAGAACAGGAAUUCUGAUCCAACAUGUGCUCAGACAUCAUUUCAGUCACUUGCAAAUGAACAAGAAAGCUCAUGUAAAUGAGGAGGCUCAACUCCCAGGCCUGGUGAGUGGGUAAGACAUUCCUCUGCUGGGUUUUGAAGGCUGUCUGAAACCAUCGGCUGACAUCCUUCUCUGUGUGCAUGUAUGCACUAUCUACGGGAAAUUCAGCUCCAACCGGUUGUCUCUACAGCUCCCUUAAUCUUCUCCUCCCUCCUCCUGGCAUUGGCAUGUGUCCCAGGACUGCAGCGAGGAGUGCUUACCAACAAAGGUGCUGGCAUCUGCAUUUGUUUCACAGCCACAAACCUAAUGGUUCCAUGAUUUUGGCGAGCAAAACUGUCAAAAUGCCUGAGCACAAGAGAUCACAAGAUGAGCCAAGGCAUAGUGUGCAUGCCUUCCUUCCCAGCACUCGGAAGGCAGAGGCAAGGGGAUCUCUGUGGGUUCAAGGCCAGCCUGAAUCACAAGGUGUACUGGGGAUUCUUUUUUAUUGUUUUCCUUUUGCUAUCUGGAAUAGUUUGAGAUUGUAUUUGAUCAGUGCAUUAAACAAC
rnacentral:lncRNA from 1 species